GACGAACGCUGGCGGCGUGGAUUAGGCAUGCAAGUCGAACGGUAGGAUCCUUUCGGGGAUCUGAGAGUGGCGAACGGGUGAGUAACACGUAGGUGAUCUACCCUCAAGACGGGGACAACCCAGGGAAACUUGGGCUAAUACCGGAUGUGAGCUAUCGCGAGAUAGUUUGAAAGGUGGCUUCGGCUGCCGCUUGAGGAUGAGCCUGCGUCCUAUUAGCUAGUUGGUGAGGUAACGGCUCACCGAGGCAGUGAUAGGUAGGCGGCCUUAACGGGUGGUCGCCCACACUGGGAUUGAGAUACGGCCCAGACUCCUACGGGAGGCAGCAGUCGAGAAUAGUCUACAAUGGUCGAAAGACUGAUAGUGCGACGCCGCGUGAACGAAGAAGCCUCGGGUGUAAGUCUUUUAUUAUGUGAGCAGUGACAUCUAUAUUAAUAAGUAUAGGGUGUAGUAGAUAUUAGUCAUAUGUAAUAAGUACAACGGCUAACUACCGUUCGCCACGCACG
rnacentral:rRNA from 1 species